UCCCAGACUCCUACGGGAGGCAGCAGUGGGGAAUAUUGCACAAUGGGGGAAACCCUGAUGCAGCAACGCCGCGUGAGUGAGGAAGUAUUUCGGUAUGUAAAGCUCUAUCAGCAGGGAAUAGAAAAGAAGGUACCUGAAAAAGAAGCCCCGGCUAACUACGUGCCAGCAGCCGCGGUAAUACGUAGGGGGCAAGCGUUAUCCGGAUUCACUGGGUGUAAAGGGAGCGUAGACGGCCAUGCAAGCCAGGGGUGAAAGCCCGGGGCCCAACCCCGGGGCUGCAUUGGGAACUGCCAGGCUGGAGUGCCGGAGAGGCAGGCGGAAUUCCUAGUGUAGCGGUGAAAUGCGUAGAUAUUAGGAGGAACACCAGUGGCGAAGGCGGCCUGCUGGACGGUGACUGACGCUGAGGCUCGAAAGCGUGGGGAGCAAACAGGAUUAGAUACCCGUGUAC
rnacentral:rRNA from 1 species